GAUGAAGAACGUAGCGAAAUGCGAAAAGUAGUGUGAAUUGCAGAAUUCAGUGAAUCAUCGAAUCUUUGAACGCACAUUGCGCCCCCUGGUAUUCCGGGGGGCAUGCCUGUCCGAGCGUCAUUGCUGCCCUCAAGCACGGCUUGUGUGUUGGGCCUCCGUCCUCCUCCCGGGGGACGGGCCCGAAAGGCAGCGGCGGCACCGCGUCCGGUCCUCGAGCGUGUGGGGCUUCGUCACCCGCUCUUGUAGGCCCGGCCGGCGCUUGCCGACACAUCAAUCUUUUUUCCAGGUUGACCUCGGAUCAGGUAGGGAUACCCGCUGAACUUAAGCAUAUCAAUAAGCGGAGGA
rnacentral:misc_RNA from 1 species